rnacentral:rRNA from 1 species
GACGAACGCUGGCGGCAUGCCUAACACAUGCAAGUCGAACGAUACCGUCGGGGCUAGUUGCGCACGAGUGCGUGACGCCUGGUAACCUGCCCUUAGGUUCGGAAUAACUCCCCUAGAGGUGUGCUAAUACCGGUUAAUCUCUUCGCAGCAAAGAUGGAUCGCCUUUGGAUGGGCCCGCGUUUGAUUAGCUAGUUGGUAGGGUAAAAGCCUACCAAGGCGACGAUCCGGGGCUGGUCUGCCAGGAUGAUCAGCUAGACUGGGACUGAGACCCGGCCCAGACCCGGACGGGAGGGAGGAGAAGGGAAUACUGGACGCUGAGGGCUGGCGUGACCCAGCCGUGCCGCGUGAGUCAUGCAGGGGUUAGGGUUGUCCAGCUCUCUUCGCCGGGAUGAUAAUGACAGUAGCGGGAGAAGAAGCUCCGGCUAACUACGUG